rnacentral:rRNA from 1 species
AUGGCGGGAGGCAGUGAGGCUAGGGGCGGGGAGUGCGGCUACUACACGACGGACGACGCGCUCUCCCAGGUGGGCUUCGGGAGGUUCCAGGCGCUGGUGCUGGCCUACGCCGGCGUGGGCUGGACCGCGGAGGCCAUGGAGAUCAUGAUGCUGUCCUUCGUCGGCCCGUCCGUGAAGGACGAGUGGGGAAUCUCGGGCCAGCAGGAGGGGCUCAUCACCAGCGUCGUCUUCGCCGGGAUGAUCAUCGGGGGCUUCCUCGGGGGCGUCAUCUCGGACUCGUAUGGCAGAAGGAUUGGUUUUCUAUUCACCGCGGUUGUCACUGGCAUAUUUGGUUUUCUCAGUGCUUUGUCACCUAACUACAUGUGCCUAUUAACCCUCCGCUUUAUUGUCGGUAUGGGAUUGGGUGCUGGUCAUGUUCUUGGUACAUGGUUCCUAGAGUUUGUUCCUGCUGCAAACAGGGGUACUUGGGUGGUUGUCUUCCAUUGUACUUGGACUUUUGGAACAAUCCUUCAGGCUCUUAUUGCAUGGGCUAUCAUGCCAGUACUUGGAUGGAGGUGGUUGAUAGCGUUGUCUUCAACACCAUGUUUCAUUCUGCUUAUUUUCUAUGGUAUAACACCUGAAUCACCACGGUACCUCUGCUCAAGAGGUAGAACAGCUGAUGCUCAAUUUAUUUUGGAGAGAAUAGCAAUAAUGAACAACAUGGCUCUGCCCUCUGGCACCUUAAUAGUUGCCCCACAAAGAAGGUCUGAUGAUGUUGUUGAUGCGGAGACAAUAGUACCGCUGAUUCUUUCACAAGAUAGUGCUGCAACUGACGUUUGCAUGAGCUCCUCUAUAUCCAGAUCUAUUAAUGCAUUCCGUACACUUGUGUCACGAAGCCUGAUUAGAUCUACACUUCUUCUUUGGUUUGUCUACUUUGCCUUUUGUUUUGCUUACUAUGGUAUAGUAUUGCUAACAUCGGAACUAAGCAAUGGUGGAAGGAGAUGUGGACCUGUUGGAAUGCAUUUGUGGCAGCGAAAUGAUGCCAGACUCUACAGAGAUGUCCUGGUGACAAGUAUUGCGGAAUUUCCUGGUCUGAUUUUGGCGGCUCUAUUUGUUGACAAAGUUGGUCGCAAACUGUCAAUGGGAGCGUUUGCUUUUCUGUGCCUUGUUUCCAUCGCACCACUUGCUGCACCUCUAGAAGAAGGUUUAGCAACCGUCCUUCUAUUCAGUGCCCGGACUUGUAUCACAGGAAGUUAUGCUGUUCUCUAUAUUUACGGCCCUGAGAUCUACCCUUCAUCAUGUCGGAACACCGGAGUGGGUGUCGCGACUUCUCUCGGCCGGAUAGGUGGCAUGAUUGCCCCACUCAUAGCUGUAGGAUUGCUAGAGAGCUGUCAUCAGAAAGAAGCUGUGUUUGUCUUCGAUCUUGUACUCUUUCUUGCAUCAGUUGCCUGUGCCCUCUUCCCUCUAGAGACCAAAGGCUGCCAGAUUCAGUAA